rnacentral:rRNA from 1 species
AGAGUUUGAUCAUGGCUCAGAUUGAACGCUGGCGGCAUGCCUUACACAUGCAAGUCGAACGGCAGCACGGGUGCUUGCACCUGGUGGCGAGUGGCGAACGGGUGAGUAAUACAUCGGAACAUGUCCUGUAGUGGGGGAUAGCCCGGCGAAAGCCGGAUUAAUACCGCAUACGAUCUACGGAUGAAAGCGGGGGACCUUCGGGCCUCGCGCUAUAGGGUUGGCCGAUGGCUGAUUAGCUAGUUGGUGGGGUAAAGGCCUACCAAGGCGACGAUCAGUAGCUGGUCUGAGAGGACGACCAGCCACACUGGGACUGAGACACGGCCCAGACUCCUACGGGAGGCAGCAGUGGGGAAUUUUGGACAAUGGGCGAAAGCCUGAUCCAGCAAUGCCGCGUGUGUGAAGAAGGCCUUCGGGUUGUAAAGCACUUUUGUCCGGAAAGAAAUCCUUGGCUCUAAUACAGUCGGGGGAUGACGGUACCGGAAGAAUAAGCACCGGCUAACUACGUGCCAGCAGCCGCGGUAAUACGUAGGGUGCGAGCGUUAAUCGGAAUUACUGGGCGUAAAGCGUGCGCAGGCGGUUUGCUAAGACCGAUGUGAAAUCCCCGGGCUCAACCUGGGAACUGCAUUGGUGACUGGCAGGCUAGAGUAUGGCAGAGGGGGGUAGAAUUCCACGUGUAGCAGUGAAAUGCGUAGAGAUGUGGAGGAAUACCGAUGGCGAAGGCAGCCCCCUGGGCCAAUACUGACGCUCAUGCACGAAAGCGUGGGGAGCAAACAGGAUUAGAUACCCUGGUAGUCCACGCCCUAAACGAUGUCAACUAGUUGUUGGGGAUUCAUUUCCUUAGUAACGUAGCUAACGCGUGAAGUUGACCGCCUGGGGAGUACGGUCGCAAGAUUAAAACUCAAAGGAAUUGACGGGGACCCGCACAAGCGGUGGAUGAUGUGGAUUAAUUCGAUGCAACGCGAAAAACCUUACCUACCCUUGACAUGGUCGGAAUCCCGCUGAGAGGUGGGAGUGCUCGAAAGAGAACCGGCGCACAGGUGCUGCAUGGCUGUCGUCAGCUCGUGUCGUGAGAUGUUGGGUUAAGUCCCGCAACGAGCGCAACCCUUGUCCUUAGUUGCUACGCAAGAGCACUCUAAGGAGACUGCCGGUGACAAACCGGAGGAAGGUGGGGAUGACGUCAAGUCCUCAUGGCCCUUAUGGGUAGGGCUUCACACGUCAUACAAUGGUCGGAACAGAGGGUUGCCAACCCGCGAGGGGGAGCUAAUCCCAGAAAACCGAUCGUAGUCCGGAUUGCACUCUGCAACUCGAGUGCAUGAAGCUGGAAUCGCUAGUAAUCGCGGAUCAGCAUGCCGCGGUGAA